GACGAACGCUGGCGGCGUGCUUAACACAUGCAAGUCGAACGGAAAGGCCCUGCUUGCAGGGUGCUCGAGUGGCGAACGGGUGAGUAACACGUGGGUGAUCUGCCCCUUAUCUUGGGAUAAGCCUGGGAAACUGGGUCUAAUACUGGAUAGGACCAUGCUGUAGGUGGUGUGGUGGAAAGAUUAGUUUCGGUAAGGGAUGAGCUCGCGGCCUAUCAGCUUGUUGGUGGGGUAAUGGCCUACCAAGGCGUCGACGGGUAGCCGGCCUGAGAGGGUGGACGGCCACAUUGGGACUGAGAUACGGCCCAGACUCCUACGGGAGGCAGCAGUGGGGAAUAUUGCACAAUGGGCGCAAGCCUGAUGCAGCGACGCCGCGUGGGGGAUGACGGCCUUCGGGUUGUAAACUCCUUUCAGCCAUGACGAAGCCCUUGUGGUGACGGUAGUGGUAGAAGAAGCACCGGCUAACUACGUG
rnacentral:rRNA from 1 species